rnacentral:lncRNA from 1 species
AUGUGGCUAUCUGAUACACAGAUAUGUAUGACGAUUUUACUGGUCACAACCUCACAUUUUUUUCUAUUUUUAAACAAUGGAAAUUAAAUAAAUUCACACAAUAACUUUUGAAUUUACAGUAUAUUGUUUGGAUGCAGACUAUCAAAAUGCGAAAAGCAAACAAGCAAAUGCAUUAACGCCAAUAAUGGAAAAAUCUCAUGUGACUUCAAAAAAUAAAUUUACAUAUUAUUGAUGGUUAUCACUGAUUAUCUAAGAAUCGAUGAUAUCUACAUGCAAAUGUUGCAAUGCAUCAGUCUUCAUCUACUUACCAGCCUGCAUAUAAUAAUAUAAAACAACAAGAAUGUGUCCAUAGUAAACGAUGCACCACUCCCAUUAGCAUUUCUAUGUUCAGUGAACCGUGAAAUUGGGA